AAGAAGAUGCAGAGGAUAUGAACAAUUUUGUUAUUCCUGGUGGUGUCUGCCACAAUUGGGUCGCUGUGGAUGUUCCUACAGUUAUCCAUAAGUCAGAGUAAUAUGCUCACUUUGUUUAAAACCCUUCUCCCAUGCCAAAAGGAGAAGUGAUGACAUUGUUGGCAACAUUUAAAACAAUGAUGUUUUCAUUCAAUCAUUGCAUUGUUAAACAUUUGUUUUUCCUUUGUUUUCACUUUUUGCUUUUGCAUGAAAUCAGUGAUCACAAAA
rnacentral:lncRNA from 1 species